rnacentral:rRNA from 1 species
GCAGUCGAACGAGGUAGCAAUACCUAGUGGCGCACGGGUGAGUAACGCGUGGAUAAUCUGCCCUUCACUGGGGAAUAACUAAUCGAAAGGUUAGCUAAUACCGCAUGAGGCCACAGUUUCUGAGGAAGCAGUGGUUAAAGAUUUAUUGGUGAAGGAUGAGUCUGCGUGGGAUUAGCUAGUUGGUGAGGUAAUGGCUCACCAAGGCUACGAUCUCUAACAGGUCUGAGAGGAUGACCUGUCACACUGGAACUGAGACACGGUCCAGACUCCUACGGGAGGCAGCAGUAGGGAAUAUUGCGCAAUGGACGAAAGUCUGACGCAGCGACGCCGCGUGAGUGAUGAAGGCCUUAGGGUCGUAAAGCUCUGUUGCAGGGGAAGAAAAAAAUGACGGUACCCUGCGAGAAAGGAUCGGCUAACUUCGUGCCAGCAGCCGCGGUAAGACGAGGGAUCCUAGCGUUGUUCGGAAUCAUUGGGCGUAAAGCGCAUGUAGGCUGCCAUUCAAGUCAGUUGUGAAAGCCCCGGGCUCAACCCGGGAAGUGCUUCUGAUACUGUUUGGCUUGAGUACUAGAGAGGAUAGUAGAAUUCCAGGUGUAGUGGUGAAAUACGUAGAUAUCUGGAGGAAUACCGGUGG